GUCUUAUCAAGAGUGGUGGAGGGACUGGCCCAAUGAAGCCCGGCAACCGGCCUAUUUCUGGCGGCGGUGCCAACUCCUGCAGGAUUAGUUCCUGAGAGAUAAGGU
rnacentral:ncRNA from 2 species